rnacentral:sRNA from 13 species
CGGGCAGUCGUCGGCGGCAACACCUUCUCUUGCGUGCUGGCUCUGGAGAACGCCCCGCUUCAAAGGGGUGCCACCCGGUACGCGCCGCCCUGCUGGCGUCAGAGCAGUGACGAUGACGCCCCCG